GUCGUCAGCUCGUGUCGUGAGAUGUGGUAGUCCGCAACGAGCGCAACCCCUAUUGUUAGUUGCCAUCAUUCAGUUGGGCACUCUAGCGAGACUGCCGGUAAUAAACCGGAGGAAGGUGGGGAUGACGUCAAAUCAUCAUGCCCCUUAUGACCUGGGCUACACACGUGCUACAAUGGUUGGUACAACGAGUUGCGAGUCGGUGACGGCGAGCUAAUCUCUUAAAGCCAAUCUCAGUUCGGAUUGUAGGCUGCAACUCGCCUACAUGAAGUCGGAAUCGCUAGUAAUCGCGGAUCAGCACGCCGCGGUGAAUACGUUCCCGGGCCUU
rnacentral:rRNA from 1 species